GAUAGUGUGGCCGAGUGGUCUAUGGCGCUGGUUCUUAGACUAGUUCUCUUAGACCAGUCUCUUCAGAGGCAAGGGUUCCAAUAACUUCACUGUCA
rnacentral:tRNA from 1 species